rnacentral:rRNA from 1 species
CGUGGAGACAGGUGGUGCAUGGCUGUCGUCAGCUCGUGUCGUGAGAUGUUGGGUUAAGUCCCGCAACGAGCGCAACCCUCACCCCUAGUUGCCACCGGGUAAAGCCGAGCACUCGAGGGGAACUGCCAGCGUCAAGCUGGAGGAAGGCGGGGAUGACGUCAAGUCAUCAUGCCCCUUACGCCCUGGGCUACACACGUGCUACAAUGGCCGGUACAAAGGGACGCGAGACUGCAAGGUGGAGCUAAUCCCAAAAAACUGGUCUAAGUUCAGAUUGCAGUCUGCAACUCGACUCCGUGAAGUUGGAAUCGCUAGUAAUCGUGGAUCAGCAUGCCACGGUGAAUACGUUCCCGGGCCUUGUACACACCGCCCGUCACACCACGAAAGCUGUCUGUACUCGAAGUCGCUGAG